UAACGUCAGAUAACAAAGGCAAAAUUAAUGAAGUCUUAGAGGGAUUGACUGGUCUUCUCCAGUCACCUGUAAGAAGAGCUGAGAAGCAUGGUCUCCCCGGUGUCCUCUCAGGAGUUGCUUUAGGAAUUACAGGACUAGUAGCAAAACCUGCUGCUAGUAUACUCGAAGUUACCAGAAAAACUACACUCAGUAUUCGAAACC